CUAGUUCGGAUUGUAGGCUGCAACUCGCCUACAUGAAGCUGGAAUUGCUAGUAAUCAUAGGUCAGCAUACUAUGGUGAAUACGUUCCCGGGCCUUGUACACACCGCCCGUCACACCAUGAGAGUUGAGAAUACCCGAAGUCCAUGUCAAAGUGGCCGAAGGUAGGCUUGAUGAUUGGGGUGAAGUCGUAACAAGGUAUC
rnacentral:rRNA from 1 species